UUUAUGAAGAAAAGGACCAGUGUAGGGUCGACUUGGAAACCUUGCGGUACGCCCGAAUAAACAAAAAAUAUUUGUGAAAUUAAACCAUUUACUUCGAUUUCUGGCAAUCGGUCUUUCAGGGUGGCCAACGAGCACACAGCGCACUUGAUGUAAGGUAGUCGCCGUCGCCUAUGGACAUCUGUAAUAUAAGGAAUGUUGCGGAUGCGUUGCCGAACUUGAUUGUGGAAGUUGGAGAGGUGGUAGUCGAGGUUGCGAUGGAAAAGUAAACCAUACGUCAAAACUACCUUACUACAAGUCCCCCACUACAAAUGGAACAAACAGUUUUAUGUUUUGGUAUUCGUUAGUUACCGAAAAACGAGUAUAUCUUAUGAAAAAUUUGAAAAGUGAUAGUGUUCAGAUAGUUAAAAACAUACGUUGGAUGCGGAUGUCGCAAGUGGUACCAAACUAGGCAAAGUAGGUUCGUGAUAACAAAUUUUAUUUCAAGGUUUAUUAACAGACGUGUAAACAAUAAUUAUCAUAUUAAUUCUUUACCUUUUUUAAAUUCCUAAUAAAUU